CUACUUUUUAAAGUUUAUGAGCGAUAUACUCAUGUUCUGGGAGAGUUGGAAAUGAGUACUCGGCGAGAAACGUGAAUGCGUAAAAUGCUGUUUUUUCCUCGCCAUAUCACAGUGAUAUCAUUUGUUUUGGUGCUUUACGCAGGCCUUUGGAAAAACAUCGCCGGCCAGAUUAGAGAUGGAGCAGCCAACGUAAGCCAGGCGAGUUCAAUAGAUUUCACUACAGUUUCUUCUCCUAUCGGACCUACUCCUGAUUCUUUCUUCCUUCGUUCUCUGCUCCGGAACUGUAGCCUAGAUAUGGCCCAAGUCACGGGUAUGUAGUUGAUGUAUUUCAAUUUCAAAAAUUUAGGCUGGACUAAAAGAUAGUGAAGUGUGAUAAUGCAAGCCUUGCUUCUUCCCACA